rnacentral:rRNA from 1 species
CCUACGGGAGGCAGCAGUGAGGAAUAUUGGUCAAUGGCCGAGAGGCUGAACCAGCCAAGUCGCGUGAGGGAAGACGGCCCUACGGGUUGUAAACCUCUUUUGUCGGGGAGCAAAGAGAGUCACGUGUGACUCAUUGAGAGUACCCGAAGAAAAAGCAUCGGCUAACUCCGUGCCAGCAGCCGCGGUAAUACGGAGGAUGCGAGCGUUAUCCGGAUUUAUUGGGGUAAAAGGGUGCGCAGGCGGAGGUGCAAGUCAGCGGUCAAAUUGCGGGGCUCAACCCCGUACUGCCGUUGAAACUGCAGCCCUUGAGUGCGCGAGAAGUAUGCGGAAUGCGUGGUGUAGCGGUGAAAUGCAUAGAUAUCACGCAGAACUCCGAUUGCGAAGGCAGCAUACCGGCGCGCAACUGACGCUCAUGCACGAAAGCGUGGGUAUCGAACAGGAUUAGAUACCCCAGUAGUC